GUUUCCCAACCAAGUCCUCAUGGACCACCAACAGUCCAGUUUUUGUCAGUAUCUCCAUUGGAAUAAAACAGGGAAAUGCAUAAAUUCUGGACUGUUGGUGGUCCAUGAGGACUGGGUUGGGGAA
rnacentral:miRNA from 1 species